GAACACAGUGAAAUGUGAUAAGUAAUGUGAAUUGCAGAAUUCAGUGAAUCAUCAAAUCUUUGAACGCACCUUGCACCUUUUGGAUAUUCCGAAAGGUACACCUGUUUGAGUGUCAUGA
rnacentral:rRNA from 1 species